rnacentral:lncRNA from 1 species
AAGAAUUGAUCGUAGAAAUAAUUGCAAAAACAAUCAUGAGUAAAUUAUAAAUAUAUUUCUCAUCCUUGCAUUCACACCCGGCCCACACAUAUAUAAUGGUAUCGUAUUUAUACAUUUGAAACAAAGAAGCCAACACAUAUAAAGUUCGUGCACUCUUAGAACAAGGCGCACACACACACACACACACACACACACACACAUAUAUAUAUAUAUAUAUAUAUAUAUAUAUAUAU